UUAUCAUUUUUUAUAUAAGGCUGGAUUUUCUUCCUUAAAUUAGUUUCCCUGUCACUGUGUCAGUCAAUACUCCUUGAAAAUAUAAACAUGAAUCUUAGCCUAUUGCUGAGUGCUGGCAAAUAGGCAACCACGUGGUAAGUAAAUUUAUUGUCACAGGACAACAUCUUUAACAACUAAGUUUUCUUUUUGACAGUGCUUCACUUAUGGGUGGAUGAAUGCAAUGCACCCUACUGUCCCCUUGCUGGUUGAGAGAAAAAUUUAUCACAUGGAUGUAUUCAGUAGUAGCUCUUAUUUUAGCAAAUUAGCAAUGAUUUCGGUCCUGUGCAAGUAAUUAAGUCUGAAUAUAUUUGGACACAGUUCAAUCUUUCUGUAAUUGGGGGAGCAGGAUUUGAGUCACUGUGGGGAUCAGAAUGGGGAAGCAGGACAAAAUAAAAAUAAUAGCAAGAGACAAACAGUUCAUGUGAUGAAUUAAAACAGUUCACAAGGAUUUUUAAACUCAGAAACAAGUGGAUUUUUCACAUUGUUUUGUGAAUUGAUGUUGUAAUAUAUUUUAAUUUGUGGACACAUUCUCCCUUGUGACACCUUGGCAGAAAGAAAUUUAAACAGCAGCUUACCAUUAUGAAAGACAAAUCUGAGUGACAAGCACGGCUCCCUGAGGAGGAGAAAAUCCUUCAUCCUGGUUUGCACCAUUCAAAGCUCCGUUGUCCAGGAUGUCUGGUGAUUUUGACUGAAAGAUUACCUGAUUCUGUCAUAGUUCAGAGCCUAAUUUUCUUAAAUCGCAUCAGAACCCUUGGAUAAAUACCAUCUGGUACUAACUACUUGCCAUACCUCAAAGCAUAAAUUCCUCUUGUUGGAAGAGGAGCAAAUACCACAGCACACUGUGUUGAUUGAAAAUGUAAUCUUUCCUUUCAUGGGCUGCUGUGGAAUAGGUGAUAACACUCGACCACAGGUGCUAACUAUUUGAGUGACAGCAACUCAGUGGGUCAUCCAAAACUGCUUCUUUGCUAUGUUGGAGGAAUGGGCAAUUACAAGGGGAGGAGAUUAAAAGAAGAUCCUGCUAAGUAGUGUAACUAUGCUGUGAGUGGGAGUACAUCCUCCUGCAGAGCUCCCAAGUCAUUUGUGGCCAAGUGAAAAAAUGGUUCAGUAUCUGGUAUGGCAAAAAUUGCGUUUCCAGCUCCACCAAAUAAUUCUUACCCUUGAAAUUUUUUGCUGUUCAGUGCACAGUGAAGCACUGGGCACUUUGAAUAUCAUCAUUCCCAAGUGACCAGGAGAUAAUAUUGGCAACUGGUGGAUUAGUCUUAAGUCUCUUGGUAAUAAACUUCUUAUGAAGAGGCCACAUCUUAUCUCUGAAAUAAGAUGCGCUCAGAGACAUUCAUUAGGAAUUAAUCAGAAUCGAUAUGAGACACAGUGAAGCUAUAUACUUGUCUGAUUAAAGCAGCCACAAGAUGCCAACAGCCUGCUUUUGCAUAGCACACAAUGCAUUUAACUCCUGCCAAAUUCAGGUGUCCUACAAGGCUGGGGAUCCCAUAUAUGUCUUCUGUGUUACGAAAUGAAAAAAAUUCCUAUAUAAACUUUUGUUGCAGUUUUCCUGCCUUGUAUGUAAGAAAAGCCACAGUUCAGAAAAGGGAGCAAGGAAAUGCCAAAGUUUCUAGCAGUUGAGAGGUGCUCAAUAACAGAAAGAAAGAAAAAAACAAACAGGAUGUUUCUGUGAGAAGAGACUAUACUUACUGAUAACAGUCUUCAAAGUGACUGACAGGGAAAAUGGAAAAUUGUGGAAAAAGGGAGACAUGACAGUACUUAAAUUAUUCCCUGAAGCCAAUUUAAAAUAUAGUGAAGGUGCAAUAUCUUUUGCCACGAAAAUUAGAAUAACUCUACUGUUGUUGGUAACAGGUAGAUGUCCCAUUCAAUUAAUAUGUGUUUUGGGGAGGAAGAUGGUUAUAGAGGUGAAAGUAAGGGUUAAAGAACCUCAGCACUCCUGUCUUUCAGCAAUCCCUGUGGUACCCCAGCAUGUGUGACGAGGUGCUGACAGAGAGGGAUGGAGGUCAGAUUUCUGACUUCACUUUCCGACUUCAGGAAAGCAAAAACCUUUAAGGGUAUUGUCACUUUUUUUGUGAAGUCAGGUCAAUGCAAACCUUGCGAUCACUUUCAGUGGAGUUUGAAUUUCAUAUUUGGCUUUUAAUAAAAACUGUAACCCACGUUCAUGAAAAGCUGGAAGAAAUUUUCCCAGGGUUUCGGAACACAGCCAAAUCCAGCUGGACUGGUACCUCAGACAAAUUAAGGAGAAAAAGUAAAUCUCAGGAGACUCUCAUAGGUUGCAUUAAUUUUUAAAACACCCAUGUCCUGGUUUUUAGGAGUAAACAGCAACUACAGUUCUCACUAAAACUCAGAAAAUGAGACCAAAUAUGCUUAUUCAGCAGAAGAGCAGUAGAAGGCAAACUCUUCUGCAGUAACAGGACAGACAGACAUAAGGAAAGGUCUUUAAUGCAGAAAACAUUUCAAUGCCCAUGAUAGAGGUAUUUCCAUCUCCCUCAAUAUUUUUCAUUACAUUACUACAGCUGCUGUGUGGAAAUUGUCUGCAACAAUGAAGUCUUUGUCUAGGAAUACCACCCCCUGGCUUCUAGAUUCAACUAACAGGGAUUUGAUACCAAUAGAGACCUCAAAUAAAAUUUCAUUUUAAUAGCAAGAGGUAAACACUGAAAAAUUGGAAUACUGAGCAUCAAAAUUAGUCUAUAAGGGAAAAGUGAUACAUAUGGUUUCCUUAUCAGAUGAAACAGCUGAUAUGUGCCUGGCAGGUCAGAGAUUUUGGAAAAUUAGGAAUCUGCACAUUGUGGACUUUGAUGUGGGCAUGGAAUUCAUUUGAAGAGACCCAAAGAUUGUUCAAGGGCUUGUUAAAAACACACGUGUAAAUAUACAUCCUGGGUGUAAAAGCAGUAUGUUAAAAGACAUACAGGAGUAUUUUAAAAAAUUGCAAAAAUAAAAAUGUGGCCAAAAUUGGA